UACGUAGGGGGCUAGCGUUGUCCGGAAUCAUUGGGCGUAAAGCGCGUGUAGGCGGUCCGGUAAGUCCGCUGUGAAAGUCGGGGGCUCAACCCUCGGAUGCCGGUGGAUACUGUCGGGCUUGAGUACGGAAGAGGCGAGUGGAAUUCCUGGUGUAGCGGUGAAAUGCGCAGAUAUCUGGGGGAAGGCCGGCGGCGAAGGCGCCAUUCUGGGAAAUUCCUGACACUGAGGCACGAAAGCGUGGGGAGCAAACAGG
rnacentral:rRNA from 1 species